GUCGAACAAAAAGAACAUUAAAGACCAGAAUAGCGGAACAUAUCCAAAAUAUAAAGAAGGGACUUCAGACACACAAUCUUUCUAAGCAUUUUCAGGAAGUUCAUGGAGGAGAUCCUACAGGACUUAGAUUUCUACCCAUCGAAAAAGUUAACGUCCAUUGGAGAGGUGGUGACAUAGAGAGGAACUUGGACCAAACCGAAGCAAGAUGGAUCUUUCAUUUAGAAACUCUGGUCCCGAAAGGUCUAAAUAUAGACUUCGAACUGAAUGCAUUUCUAUGAAAUGUUCAAUUCUGCUAUUCUAU